UACGAAGGGGGCGAGCGUUGUUCGGAAUUACUGGGCGUAAAGGGCGCGUAGGCGGCGACUCAAGUUAGAUGUGAAAGUCCCGGGCUUAACCUGGGGACUGCAUUUGAUACUGGGUUGCUUGAAUUCGGGAGAGGAUAGCGGAAUUCCCAGUGUAGAGGUGAAAUUCGUAGAUAUUGGGAAGAACACCGGUGGCGAAGGCGGCUAUCUGGACCGACAUUGACGCUGAGGCGCGAAAGCGUGGGGAGCAAACAGG
rnacentral:rRNA from 1 species